AGGACGAACGCUGGCGGCGUGCUUAACACAUGCAAGUCACGGGGGCCCAGCAAUGGGCAACCGGCGAACGGGUGCGUAACACGUGAGUGACCUGCCGAUUUGUGGGGGAUAGCCGGGCCAACGCCCGGGUAAUACCGCAUACGCUCUUCUUGGGGCAUCUCUAGAAGAGGAAACCUCCGGGGCAAAUCGAGGGACUCGCGGCCUAUCAGCUAGUUGGCGAGGUAACGGCUCGACCAAGGCUACGACGGUAGCUGGUCUGAGAGGACUGGCCAGCCACAUUGGGACUGAGAUACGGCCCAGACUCCACGGGAGCAGCAGUGGGGAAUAGUGCGCAAUGGCCUAAGGCUGACGCAGCGACGCCGACGUGUCGGGAUGACCGCCCGUUCGGGUAGUAAACCACGUGUUGGCUCGAGACGAAUAGCAGCUUUAGGCUCGGCCUGACGGUAUCGAAGUCGAGGAAGCGACCGC
rnacentral:rRNA from 1 species